UACGUAGGGCGCAAGCGUUGUCCGGAAUUAUUGGGCGUAAAGAGCUCGUAGGCGGCUUGUCACGUCUGCUGUGAAAUCCCGGGGCUCAACCCCGGGCGUGCAGUGGAUACGGGCUGGCUAGAGGCAGGCAGGGGAGAACGGAAUUCCCGGUGUAGCGGUGAAAUGCGCAGAUAUCAGGAGGAACACCGGUGGCGAAGGCGGGUCUCUGGGCCGAAAUUGACGCUGGAGGAGCGAAAGCGUGGGGAGCAAACGGG
rnacentral:rRNA from 1 species